GAACCCUUGGCGCAGCGGUAGCGCGUGAGAUUCCAGUAGGGAGAUCCUCAAGGUCGUCCGUUCGAUCCGGGCAGGGUUCA